rnacentral:rRNA from 1 species
GGUUCGAUUAUGGCUCAGAUUGAACGCUGGCUGGAUGCUUUACAUGCAAGUCGAACAGCUGGACUUCGGUCUGUGUGGCAGUGGCGAACAGGUGAGUAAUGUAUCGGAGCGUCACCUAGUAGCGGGGGAUAACUACGCGAAAGCGUAGCUAAUACCACAUACGCCCAUCGAAGCAGGGACUGGGCCUCGCACUGGCAAAACGGCCGAUAUCGGAUUAGCUAGUUAUUGGUGGGGUAACGGCUCACCAAGGCGACGAUCGUAAGCUGGACCCGGGACGACCAACCACACUGGGACUGAGACUACGGCCCAGACUCCUACGGGGAGCAGCAGUGGGGGUACGGACAAUGGGGGGGAAACCUGAUCCCAGCCAUCCGCGUGUGCGACCAAAUUCCUUCAGGUUGUAAAGCACUUUGGCAGGAAAAGAAACGGCACCGGGAUAAUACCCCGUGCAACUGUGUACCUGCAGAAUAAGCACCGAGCUAACUACGUACCCGGCAGCCGCCCCCGGUAAUACACGUAGGUGCAAGCGUUAAUCGGAAUUGCUGGGCUUUCAGCGGUACUUUCGACCGGUUCGGAAGAAAGAUGUGAAAUCUAGAGCUUAACUGGAACUGCAUUUUUAACUGCCAAAUAGAGAGUGUGUGGCAAGAGGGAGGUGGAAUUCCGCGUGUAGCAGUGAUAAAAGCGAUAUGCGGAGGAACACCGAUGGCGAAGGCAGCCUCCUGGGAUUUUCACUGACGCUCGCUUCUGGCGUGAGGGAGCGGGGAUUAGAUACUGGUAGUCCAUACCCUAAACGAUCAUCAACUAGCUGUUGGGGCUUCGGGCCUUGGUAGCGCAAUAACGCGUGAAGUUGACCGCCUGGGAGUACGGUCGCAAGAUUAAAACUCAAAGGAAUUGACAGGGACCCGCACAAGCGGUGGAUGAUGUGGAUUAAUUCGAUGCAACGCGAAAAGAAACCUACCCUUGACAUGUCUGGAAUCCCGAAGAGAUUUGGGAGUGCUUGCAAGAGAACCGGAACACAGGUGCUGCAUGGCUGUCGUCAGCUCGUGUCGUGAGAUAUUGGGUUAAGUCCCGCAACGAGCGCAACCCUUGUCAUUAGUUGCUACGAAAGGAACCUCUAAUGAGACUGCCGGUGACAAACCGGAGGAAGGUGGGGAUGACGUCAAGUCCUCGCGAAAGCCCAUAUGGGUAGAGCUACCACGUCGCUGCAAUGGUCGGGACAGAGGGUCGCCAACCCGCGAGGGAGGCCAAUCCACAGAAACCCGAUCGUAGUCGGAUCGCAGUCUACGCUCGACUGCGUGAAGUCGGAAUCGCUAGUAAUCGCGGAUCAGCAUGUCGCGGUGAAUACGUUCCCGGGUCUGUACACACCGCCCGUUACACCAUGGGAGUGGGUUUUACGAAGUAGUUAGCCCAACAAUACGGAGGGCGAUUACCACGGUAGGAUUCAUGACUGGGGUGAAGUCGUAACAAGGUAG